rnacentral:rRNA from 1 species
UACGUAGGGGGCAAGCGUUGUCCGGAAUCAUUGGGCGUAAAGCGCGCGUAGGCGGCCCGGUAAGUCCGUUGUGAAAGUCAAAGGCUCAACCUUUGAACGCCGAUGGAUACUGCCGGGCUAGAGUCCGGAAGAGGCGAGUGGAAUUCCUGGUGUAGCGGUGGAAUGCGCAGAUAUCAGGAGGAACACCAAUAGCGAAGGCAGCUCGCUGGGACGGUACUGACGCUGAGACGCGAAGGCGUGGGGAGCAAACAGG